rnacentral:rRNA from 1 species
UACGUAGGGUGCGAGCGUUAAUCGGAAUUACUGGGCGUAAAGCGUGCGUAGGCGGUCCGCAAAGUCUGAUGUGAAAGCCCCGGGCUCAACCUGGGAACUGCAUUGGAAACUAACGGGCUCGAGUGUGGCAGAGGGGGGUGGAAUUCCACGUGUAGCAGUGAAAUGCGUAGAGAUGUGGAGGAACACCGAUGGCGAAGGCAGCCCCCUGGGCUAACACUGACGCUCAGGCACGAAAGCGUGGGGAGCAAACAGG